AGUGAACGCUGGCGGUAGGCCUAACACAUGCAAGUCGAACGGCAGCACAGUAAGAGCUUGCUCUUACGGGUGGCGAGUGGCGGACGGGUGAGGAAUACAUCGGAAUCUACUUUUUCGUGGGGGAUAACGUAGGGAAACUUACGCUAAUACCGCAUACGACCUACGGGUGAAAGCAGGGGAUCUUCGCACCUUGCGCGAUUGAAUGAGCCGAUGUCGGAUUAGCUAGUUGGCGGGGUAAAGGCCCACCAAGGCGACGAUCCGUAGCUGGUCUGAGAGGAUGAUCAGCCACACUGGAACUGAGACACGGUCCAGACUCCUACGGGAGGCAGCAGUGGGGAAUCUUGGACAAUGGGCGCAAGCCUGAUGCAGCCAUACCGCGUGGGUGAAGAAGGCCUUCGGGUUGUAAAGCCCUUUUGUUGGGAAAGAAAAGCAGCGGGUUAAUACCCCGCUGUUCUGACGGUACCCAAAGAAUAAGCACCGGCUAACUUCGUG
rnacentral:rRNA from 1 species